GAUGAACGCUGGCGGCGUGCCUAAUACAUGCAAGUCGAGCGAAUGGAUUGAGAGCUUGCUCUUAUGAAGUUAGCGGCGGACGGGUGAGUAACACGUGAGUAACCUGCCCAUAAGACUGGGAUAACUCCGGGAAACCGGGGCUAAUACCGGAUAACAUUUUGAACCGCAUGGUUCGAAAUUGAAAGGCGGCUUCGGCUGUCACUUAUGGAUGGACCCGCGUCGCAUUAGCUAGUUGGUGAGGUAACGGCUCACCAAGGCAACGAUGCGUAGCCGACCUGAGAGGGGGAUCGGCCACACUGGGACUGAGACACGGCCCAGACUCCUACGGGAGGCAGCAGAAGGGAAUCUUCCGCAAUGGACGAAAGUCUGACGGAGCAACGCCGCGUGAGUGAUGAAGGCUUUCGGGUCGUAAAACUCUGUUGUUAGGGAAGAACAAGUGCUAGUUGAAUAAGCUGGCACCUUGACGGUACCUAACCAGAAAGCCACGGCUAACUACGUGCCAGCCGCCGCAGUAA
rnacentral:rRNA from 1 species